rnacentral:sRNA from 1 species
AUGCCUCAGUAACGGCGAGUGAAGCGGCAAGAGCUCAAAUUUGAAAGCUGGCCCCUCCGGGGUCCGCAUUGUAAUUUGCAGAGGAUGCUUCGGGCUCAGCCCCCGUCUAAGUGCCCUGGAACGGGCCGUCGGAGAGGGUGAGAAUCCCGUCUGGGACGGGGUGCCUGGGUCCAUGUGAAGCUCCUUCGACGAGUCGAGUUGUUUGGGAAUGCAGCUCUAAAUGGGUGGUAAAUUUCAUCUAAAGCUAAAUACUGGCCGGAGACCGAUAGCGCACAAGUAGAGUGAUCGAAAGAUGAAAAGCACUUUGAAAAGAGAGUUAAACAGCACGUGAAAUUGUUGAAAGGGAAGCGCUUGCGAUCAGACUCGCCUGCGGGGUUCAGCCGGCAUUCGUGCCGGUGUACUUCCCCGUGGGCGGGCCAGCGUCGGUUCGGGUGGCCGGUCAAAGGCCCCGGGAAUGUGUCGCCCUCCGGGGCGUCUUAUAGCCCGGGGUGCCAUGCGGCCUACCUGGACCGAGGAACGCGCUUCGGCUCGGACGCUGGCGUAAUGGUCGUAAGCGACCCGUCUUGAAACACGGACCAAGGAGUCUAACAUCUACGCGAGUGUUUGGGUGGCAAACCCAUACGCGCAGUGAAAGCGAACGGAGGUGGGAACCCUUCGGGGCGCACCAUCGACCGAUCCUGAUGUCUUCGGAUGGAUUUGAGUAAGAGCGUAGCUGUGGGGACCCGAAAGAUGGUGAACUAUGCCUGAAUAGGGCGAAGCCAGAGGAAACUCUGGUGGAGGCUCGCAGCGGUUCUGACGUGCAAAUCGAUCGUCAAAUUUGGGUAUAGGGCGAAAGAC